UGGCAAAGAAGGGCGUGCUGAUCCUACCGGACAUCAUGGCCAACUCCGGCGGAGUGAUGGUGAGCUGCUUCAAGUGGGCUGCUGGGCGUCCAAGAGGCACUUGACCUUGCCGGAUCACGCUACCAUCGGCGUAAUCCAGGCCGGAUCUGUGGAGAGCCCGGCGUAGCACCGUCACAGAUUGAUAAGGGCCGGAGCUUCAAUGACAAAUCCACUAUAUUCAGCACACAGCCCAACUCAGUAGGCACGAGCCAUGUCGACAGUCGGGGUGGCACUCGGGUGCAUGCUCGCCUUGACAGUCAUCAAGGUCGCAAUAGAGUCGGUGGAGGCUGUGCUCGGCGACGCUGAGAGAGAGUCUAUCAAGCAUAAGUCCAUGCUGUUGUGGCUGAAGUGACUUAUGGAUGCCGACAUGCUUGAAGAUUUUGAAGAUGAAACCGACCUCAACCUGUGGGCAGCCACGAUGAAGAAGAAUAAGAUGCCACAUAACAUGAGAUCGAUGCAAAAGCGCAUAGAAAAGAUAAAGGAGGACCGUGAGGAGCGGCAAGGUCCCGACAUCCAGGAUACAGCAGGAUAUGUGGAGGAGGCAGAAAUCAUCUGGAGGACUGAUGAUUGCAUAUCUUGGAGCAGCAGUUAUUUCCCCCUCCUUUUGACUACAGUGGUUGGAGUCAGUAGGUAGUGAUUAGAGUAAGUAGGAGAGGCUGACAUUUGACAAUACGGUUCUGUGUGUGCAUUGACUGCUGGUGCUGCAGCCUGUAAUUUUUCUUAUGGAGUGGACCGAAGUAAUCCAUCAAGCUAGCUGCAUUAUUGAUUCUGUUCCUUUUGCUGGCGAGGUAAUAAUGUCCCACUCAACUCGUGAUGUGAGACAUAGUAGUGUAACCAUGAUAUUUACAUCAUUGGUCAUGUGUUCUAUAUGCUAUGAUUUUUCUUCCUUAAUUACCCUGCCUCAGCCAUAAUCAUCAUCCACUUAAACCAGAACUGUAUACUUAAAAAAAGAGCUAAUGAAAAGUCAAGCAUUUAGAUGGAAAUAAGCAUACAAAUAAAAUGCAAAAACAUCAGAACAUAAGUGUAGCCUUUAAUUCAAAGAACAUGCUAUGAAGAUCAAUCAUUUGGAACUGCCCUUGAAGUGCCUCUCCGUGUAGCCCAUUCAUGGCUUUACGAAUGGGCUGGACACGGCGUUUGAUGGUUUGCGCUUGCGUCUUUUGAACUCCACUUGUUUAGCGAUAGUCUUGGUGUCAAAUUGUUGUUUCACUGGAUCACUUGGAGGGUCAUUCUUCCUCGGGCGUCCACGUUUACGCUUUGGGGCACCGGAUGUCUCUGGUUUUUUUGUAACAUCAGGGUUGGUGACAAUCGUGACAUCGUCGUCUGCACCUUUUCGUUCCUCUGGAAUGCUGGCUUCGUACUCGUCCCUCUAUAGAGGAAAUAGUGGUGCGUUACGUGAAAUCAUGAAAGGUAGGAACUACAUGACAUGAAAUGCUAGUUGUGUAGAACUUACCGUUAUAGGAUUCUUGUAUGAUUUUUUCCGAAGCUUGUUGCAAUCCGAACGCAGCAGGCUUGAACAUAUUUUCUAGCUGAAAACAUGUAUUUUUGCCUGAAUUAGAUAGCGAUGCAUAGGUUAGGAUAGGGGUGAAGCAUAGGUAGUGCAUGAUUUCAAAUGUAAUUUAGUGUUUGGCAGACCUAUGUGAAAUCCUCGGUAAUUUUAUCUCCGUCCCAUGUCAACAUGUAUUUGAGUGUGUACGCCCCACAGGAAUAACUGUGAUGUAAAGUUGAAGUUAAGUAUUGUAGUGUAUGUGAGGAAUCAUGUAGCUGCCUAUACGUACCCAUCCGUUUGUUGUGGUAUGUUAGUAUAGCAAGUGGUUUUCCACUGGGUAAUAUUGAUGGGUUUAGGCGGUGUUACCAAGCCAUCCUCGAUCGCUUCGUUGAUACACGCCUGAAUGGACUCCACCUGGUGUAUGAGGAGUAAUUCAAGGGAUUGCAUUAGUGCUUUUAAAAAAGUGUCACAUGAUGGUAAGAGGCAACAAGAGAGCAAGCUUACCAGUGCAGUUUCCUUGGCAAUGUCACGAUAUGCUUGGUUGGAGUUUAGGACCUGGAACUCUUCUUUGUCUAAAUUAAACACGAGUAAUAACCAGUGCAUGAUGUGCACAUUCAUUGGGACAUGUACCUGGCAGAAAAUUAAAGCGGACUCAAUUUAGGGAAAAUCAAGAUAUACAAUUAAACAAAUCAGGAAACAUGCAUACCAUUCUGCGUCCUACAAAUUUCCUUGCUACAUUAGCAACAUGUGGGCUUUUGCAUCCCAUUGGAAUACCCCCAAAUUCACCUAGUAAAAUUCUGCUUUCUACAGUGGAAAUGAAUGAUGUAGCAUCAGUUGCAACAUUGCUAAUGUGUGCAUAUGCAUUAAUAACCUGCAAAAUUUGUAGUCAUGUAAUAUGGCACAAUUUAGAAUACUUGAUGUAGAUUGCAGUAUAUGGGCCUUACGUCAUCGAUGAAGAAUAGUUUGCUAACAUUUGGCUUGAGUUUAUGAACUGUUAGCACAAUGUCUUUGAUGUGAACUACCUCAACAAGGUCGUGACUUCCUCGGAUGAAAAGUGCAGCGUCAUAGUCUUCAUCUGUCAAUACGUAAUCAUUGUUGAAUACAGGCUUCCGUGGUGGGAUGUCUUGGUCCAACUCCUUGUUUUGCACCACAGGUGAUUGUCCCCUCUCGGUAGACGCUGCUCCGACGCUGUGAUCGUUGA